rnacentral:rRNA from 1 species
UGGGGAAUAUUGCACAAUGGGGGAAACCCUGAUGCAGCGACGCCGCGUGAGCGAUGAAGGCUUUCGAGUCGUAAAGCUCUGUCCUAUGGGAAGAUAAUGACGGUACCAUAGAAGAAAGCCCCGGCUAAUUACGUGCCAGCAGCCGCGGUAAUACGUAAGGGGCGAGCGUUGUCCGGAAUUAUUGGGCGUAAAGAGUGCGUAGGCGGCAAAUUAAGUCAGAUGUGAAAACUAAGGGCUCAACCCAUAGAUUGCAUCUGAAACUGAAAUGCUUGAGUCAAGGAGAGGAAAGUGGAAUUCCUAGUGUAGCGGUGGAAUGCGUAGAUAUUAGGAGGAAUACCGGUGGCGAAGGCGACUUUCUGGACUUGAACUGACGCUGAGGCACGAAAGCGUGGGGAGCAAACAGG